rnacentral:rRNA from 1 species
GUAUCAUAGUCUCGUUGGUGACCAGCGGAGGGAUCAUUACCGAGUUUACAACUCCCAAACCCCUGUGAACAUACCUUAAUGUUGCCUCGGCGGAUCAGCCCGCUCCCCGUAAAACGGGACGGCCCGCCAGAGGACCCAAACUCUAAUGUUUCUUAUUGUAACUUCUGAGUAAAACAAACAAAUAAAUCAAAACUUUCAACAACGGAUCUCUUGGUUCUGGCAUCGAUGAAGAACGCAGCAAAAUGCGAUAAGUAAUGUGAAUUGCAGAAUUCAGUGAAUCAUCGAAUCUUUGAACGCACAUUGCGCCCGCUGGUAUUCCGGCGGGCAUGCCUGUUCGAGCGUCAUUUCAACCCUCAAGCCCCCGGGUUUGGUGUUGGGGAUCGGCUCUGCCUCACGGCGGUGCCGCCCCCGAAAUACAUUGGCGGUCUCGCUGCAGCCUCCAUUGCGUAGUAGCUAACACCUCGCAACUGGAACGCGGCGCGGCCAUGCCGUAAAACCCCAACUUCUGAAUGUUGACCUCGGAUCAGGUAGGAAUACCCGCUGAACUUAAGCAUAUCAAUAAGCGGAGGAA